CCGCCUUGCUACUCUGAACCCUGCUUUAAUAGCGCCAUCUGUAAGGACAAUGGGUGAAGUACAGCUGUGAAUGCUGGCCUGGUAAAGGGCCACCUGGCCUCUUGCUCAGAUAAUGUGGAGAAUAAUAAACAAGGAAACUAAGACAGAUGUAUUCAUUUGAACUUAUUCACACCUGAAAAACAACAAGCUCUGUCCAGAACAGCCUGUCCCCGUGUUAUCUUUAAUGAACAUCAUAUGUAGUGUUGAUCAUAUUAAAUAUCCUUCCUCCUUCCAGGGUUUGAGGGCCGUCAUCAAUGAGUGUGGCAGCAGUGCUUGAAGAAACGGCAGCAGCUGCAUUGAGAGAUCUUGACAUGCCUUGUAUGGCAGUGAGCCUCUUCUGCCUGAAAGCUAUGGCCACAAACAGUCUGCAGGUUACAUCUACAGGUGUCCUCCAGGAACAACAGGACUGUUUUGCCCUCACACAGUGGAGUGUCUUUGAACAUGAUGACCCAGAGACUCACACAAUAGCAGUGCUGGGUUACAUCAAGCACUGCAUGGACACUGUCACCACGGGUCAGGGUCUACCCCAACUGUAAACCCUGGAUGACAAGUAAGGUUCAGGCAUUGUUAAAGGCACACAACUCUGCAUACAAAUCUGGGGACCAGGACAUGUACAGCAGAGCAAGAGCAGACCUUAAAAAAGGCAGAGGACUAUUCACCUCUCUGAUAACAACUCCAGAAAGGUAUGGGAGGGCCUGAAACACGUCACCAAUGGCAAUGAGACAAAUAUAGAUAAUAUGGAUGUCUCAUUAGCAGAGGAACUUAACCACUUCUUUGCCCACUUGGAGAAAACUGCAGUCACCCCCACCAUGCACACCGCCUGCCCACAGCCUCCUCUGAGCACAGCCUCUACACAUUUAGCCUCCAAGAACACCAGCUUUGCAAUGUGUUCAGAGCAGUAAAUCAGAGGGAAGCUGCUGGCCCUGACAGAAUACCUGGUAGAGUGCUCAAAGCCUGCGCCAACCAGCUGGCUCCUGUGUUCACCAGACUAUUCAACCUCUCCCUGACACAUGCCUCUGUCCCUCACUCACUGCCUGAAGUCAGCAACAAUAGUCCCAGUCCCCAGGUCCACCACCAUCAGUGGCCUCAGCGACUCCAGUGGUUGCAAAGUGCUUAGAGAAGCUGGUCUUAAAACACAUAAAGGACUGCCUCCCACCCAGCUCGACCCCCACCCGUUUGCCUACAAGGCAAACAGGUCCACAGAGGAUGCAAUUUCCACCGCCCUCCACUCCGCUCUGCAUCACCUGGAGAAUCCUGGGACAUCAGUAAGGAUGCUCUUCAUUGAUUUCAGCUCGGCCUUCAAUGCCAUCAUCCCAGACAUUCUUAUAGACAAGCUGGUAAACUUGGACUCCCCCCCCCCACACACACACACAUACACACAUGUGCAUGGAUCAGAAACUUCCUCCCAGACCGUUCACAAUCAGUCAAGGUUGGCAACCAGAGAUCAUCCACCCUGUCACUCAGCACUGGCUCACCACAGGGAUGUGUGCUGAGUCCACUCCUAUACACCAUCUACACCAGUGACUGCAUCCCCACACACCCCUGCAACAUCAUCAUCAAAUUUGAGAUGAGGUCCAGCAGCUGUCAGAAUGGUGUGACUACAA